UUAAAUUGAAGAGUUUGAUCAUGGCUCAGAUUGAACGCUGGCGGCAGGCCUAACACAUGCAAGUCGAACGGUAACAGGAAUCAGCUUGCUGAUUCGCUGACGAGUGGCGGACGGGUGAGUAAUGUCUGGGAAACUGCCUGAUGGAGGGGGAUAACUACUGGAAACGGUAGCUAAUACCGCAUAACGUCGCAAGACCAAAGAGGGGGACCUUCGGGCCUCUUGCCAUCGGAUGUGCCCAGAUGGGAUUAGCUAGUAGGUGGGGUAAC
rnacentral:rRNA from 1 species